UUUCUUUGGUCCACUCUGUCUUUUUUCUUUUUUUUUGAGACUCAGUCUCGCUCUGUCGCCAGGCUGGAAUGAAGUGGCAUGAUCUCAUCUCACUGCAACCUCCGCCUCCUGGGUUCAAGCAAUUCUUGUGCCUCAGCCUCCUGAGUAGCUGGAAUUACAGACAUGUGCCACUACACCCAGCUAAUGUUUUUAGUUUUAGUAGAGAUGGGGUUUUACCAUGUUUGGUGAAACACCAGGAUGUUUCACUAGGAGAUCAUCAGGAUGGUCUCGAUCUCCUGACCUCGUAAUCCACCCAGCUUGGCCUCCCAAAGUGCUGGGAUUACAGGUGUGAGCCACUGUGCCUGGCCUUUUUUUUUUCUGAGCCAGAGAACUUCCUAGGAGACUCAUUAGAGUAAUUGCAUUGAGAUAAUAAAGUGAACAACUGUGACUAGUGAAUCAGACUGCAGCCUGCAUUGUGCAGUGUCUGUAUUUCCUUAGCUCCUCAAGUGUGCCAGGAUCUCCAGAUCUAAUCCCAAGAUCUGUGAUUCUGUCUGCACUGAACCAUCCAAGGUGCUGGAGUGUGCCACAGAGAAAGAUCGUGUCGUGCAGAAUGCUUUUUAACUUUACACAUUGGUGGGAACCAGGAGUGGACUUUCUUUUGGCCGGCAAUGUGACAAGUGUCAUGUGGAGAGCUGAAGCCACUGACAACAUAUUGCAGAUUUACUUCCCUGUUGGUUUAGUUCCCCUUUCUGAUAAAUUGGCAGCUGUAGUAGCUGGCCCACUCCUUCAUCUGAUUUUGGAUGGGGUUUGGGCUCAAUAUGGAAUCGGUUUGCUGUCAGUAUUGCUGAGGAUACAAAAGGAGGUCUCUUCAAGGUGGACUCUGAUCCUUCUGAGGUCCUGGAUCAGAUUAACCAACGUAGGUAUGCCCCGCACCUUUCACUCAUUACCACCCCUCAAAAGGUCACUUUGCCAAACAUGA
rnacentral:lncRNA from 1 species